rnacentral:rRNA from 1 species
GACAGAGGUCCCGAGCGUUAGGCGGAAUCACUGGGCUUAAAGCGUGUGUAGGCGGAUUUGUAAGUACCUUGUGAAAUCCCACGGCUCAACCGUGGAACUGCUUGGUAUACUGCUUAUCUUGGGCCACUUAGGGGUUACCGGAACAAACGGUGGAGCGGUGAAAUGCGUAGAUAUCGUUUGGAACGCCAAUGGUGAAAACAGGUAACUGGGAGUGUGCCGACGCUGAGACACGAAAGCCAGGGGAGCGAACGGG